rnacentral:rRNA from 1 species
UGGUGUAGCGGUGAAAUGCUUAGAUAUCACGAAGAACUCCGAUUGCGAAGGCAGCUCACUGGAGCGCAACUGACGCUGAAGCUCGAAAGUGCGGGUAUCGAACAGGAUUAGAUACCCUGGUAGUCCGCACGGUAAACGAUGGAUGCCCGCUGUUGGUCUGAAUAGGUCAGCGGCCAAGCGAAAGCAUUAAGCAUCCCACCUGGGGAGUACGCCGGCAACGGUGAAACUCAAAGGAAUUGACGGGGGCCCGCACAAGCGGAGGAACAUGUGGUUUAAUUCGAUGAUACGCGAGGAACCUUACCCGGGCUUGAAUUGCAGAGGAAGGAUUUGGAGACAAUGACGCCCUUCGGGGUCUCUGUGAAGGUGCUGCAUGGUUGUCGUCAGCUCGUGCCGUGAGGUGUCGGCUUAAGUGCCAUAACGAGCGCAACCCCUCUCCUUAGUUGCCAUCAGGUUAAGCUGGGCACUCUGGGGACACUGCCACCGUAAGGUGUGAGGAAGGUGGGGAUGACGUCAAAUCAGCACGGCCCUUACGUCCGGGGCUACACACGUGUUACAAUGGCAGGUACAGAGAGAUGGUCCCUUGCAAAAUGGAUCAAAUCCUUAAAGCCUGUCUCAGUUCGGACUGGGGUCUGCAACCCGACCCCACGAAGCUGGAUUCGCUAGUAAUCGCGCAUCAGCCAUGGCGCGGUGAAUACGUUCCCGGGCCUUGUACACACCGCCCGUCAAGCCAUGAAAGCCGGGGGCGCCUAAAGUCCGUGACCGUAAGGAGCGGCCUAGGGCGAAACUGGUAAUUGGGGCUAAGUCGUAACAAGGUAGCCGUACCGGAAGGUGCGGCUG